CACAUACCUCAGUUCCUUCCUCCUGCUCCUGAAUCCUUGUCUGGAAUGUUAUUUCCCAAACCCCAAGCCUCAGAACCUGUUAUGUUGCCUCACUAGUGACUCCCUCGUCCACAGCCCCUUCUCUACCGUAUUUGGUUGUGAGCUUCACCUUUAAUGGCUGAACCAUCUCUCCAGUCCUACAGCCACUUCUCAAGUCCUCUGUCUCUGUCCCACGUCAGGACAGUCCCAGCCCACAGGCCAGAGAGCUUCCCAGAGCAACAGUUGGAGACCGGACGCUUUCAGAAGUGAGGGAGGGCGAAGUCCUGGUGGUGUGGCACGUGCAGCGAUACGCCUGGUCCAGGGACCUGGUCUCAGCCUCACAGUUGCCAGUAGCUCUUCUUCCCAACUUGAAACAACGAAAAAUGGCCCCUGUUUUGCCAGAUAUGCACUGGACAAUAAGGGGACUGUUAUACUCUCC
rnacentral:lncRNA from 1 species